rnacentral:rRNA from 1 species
AUUGAACGCUGGCGGCAUGCCUUACACAUGCAAGUCGAACGGCAGCGGGCCCUUCGGGGUGCCGGCGAGUGGCGAACGGGUGAGUAAUGCAUCGGAACGUACACGGGAGAGGGGGAUAACCGGCCGAAAGGCUGGCUAAUACCGCAUGAACUCGGAAGAGCAAAGCGGGGGACCUUCGGGCCUCGCGCUCUCGGAGCGGCCGAUGUCCGAUUAGGCUAGUUGGUGGGGUAAAGGCCCACCAAGGCGACGAUCGGUAGCGGGUCUGAGAGGACGAUCCGCCACACUGGGACUGAGACACGGCCCAGACUCCUACGGGAGGCAGCAGUGGGGAAUCUUGGACAAUGGGCGCAAGCCUGAUCCAGCAAUGCCGCGUGGGUGAAGAAGGCCUUCGGGUUGUAAAGCCCUUUCGGCGGGGAAGAAAUCGGUCAGGCGAAUAGUCUGGCCGGAUGACGGUACCCGCAGAAGAAGCACCGGCUAACUACGUG